GACGAACGCUGGCGGCGUGCUUAACACAUGCAAGUCGAACGGAAAGGCCCUGCUUUUGUGGGCUGCUCGAGUUGCGAACGGGUGAGUAACACGUGAGUUACCUGUCCUUGACUUUGGGAUAACUUCAGGAAACUUGGGCUAAUCCCGGAUAGGAUCUCCUGCUGCUUGGUGGGGGUUGGAUAGUUUCGGCGGUUGGAGAUGUACGGGCGGCUUAUUGGCUUGUUGGUGGGGUAGUGGGUUACCAAGGCUUUGACGGGUUGCCGGCCUGGGAGGGGCGCCGGCCAAAUUAGGAUUGAGAUACGGCCCAGACUAGUACGGUAGGGAACGGUGGAGAAGAGUACACAGUAGGCGGGAGCAUAGUGCGACAACGCCGCGUGCGGGAAGACGGCCUUGGGGUAGUAAACCGAUUUCGCCUGAGACGAGGCGUGAAUGACGGUAAUGGGAAAAGAAGCACCGGCUAACUACGUG
rnacentral:rRNA from 1 species